GACGAACGCUGGCGGCGUGCUUAACACAUGCAAGUCGAACGGUGAUGGAAGAGCUUGCUCUUCCUGAUCAGUGGCGAACGGGUGAGUAACACGUGAGCAACCUGCCCUCCACUUCGGGAUAAGCCUUGGAAACGGGGUCUAAUACCGGAUAUGAGCUAGCACCGCAUGGUGGUGGUUGGAAAGUUUUUCGGUGGGGGAUGGGCUCGCGGCCUAUCAGCUUGUUGGUGGGGUAAUGGCCUACCAAGGCGUCGACGGGUAGCCGGCCUGAGAGGGCGACCGGCCACACUGGGACUGAGGCACGGCCCAGACUCCUACAGGAGGCAGCAGUGGGGAAUAUUGCACAAUGGGCGAAAGCCUGAUGCAGCGACGCCGCGUGGAGGAUGACGGCCUUCGGGUUGUAAACUCCUUUCAGCAGGGAAGAAGCGCAAGUGACGGUACCUGCAGAAGAAGCACCGGCUAACUACGUG
rnacentral:rRNA from 1 species